AUGGGUCUCCCAGCCUCAGUUUUAAUUCUUCCUGUGAUUCUUCCAGAAGACAGUCUCGUCCAACCCAUGAAUAGACAAUGCUCUUUCCAGUGGUCCUGCUUUCUGUGACUUUUCUCGGACUUUUCUCCGCCUCCCGCGGAUCGGAUGAGGGACGACUGCCCUGCUGUUUGCUAUCCAAUUGUGAAGCCCUUGCUGAGAUACUUCGAGAAGGUCCACGAGAAGGACUCCCACAUACUACAGUUGCAGAAGGAUAACUCGGAGUUGCUGAAGAAGUACGCGGAAGUCCAAAAGAACAAUACGGAAGUGCUGCGCCAACUCAAUGAUCUGAAUGUUAGAUACGCAAAGUUUCAAUCCCAGAACCUGGAAGUCAGCCAUCUCCACGACCUGAUAGGUCAGAAAAGUGGGGAAAUCGAGCAACUGAAAGAGCGAAUUACUGACCUUAAAAGAACAAGUGAUCUAGGAGUGCUAUCAAGUCAAUUUCGCGAAAGUAUUGCCAAGCUGGAAGAAAUGGUAAAAAAGGGAGUAAAAUCUCCCACCAAAGUUGCGAAUAAAAGUAAUCGGAGGAAGUCGCAGAUGGAAACUCCCGUAAAAACUGGAGAUGAGACAGAGACCAGUUCUUCAUCGGACUCCAGCGAUUGCACCUUCUGACUUCUGGAGUGCCUCAUGAGGUGCGUGUCGCCCAAUUUCAAGGGGGUGUAAUAUGCGGCAACUUUGUUAUCGGCAAUCGGAGCGAGGGAUAUAUGAUUAGGAGUAUGGGCAGUUGUGCUGGAGAGACAUGGUUGAGCUUCAAACAGGGCAACAGGUUCUCCACCUUCGAUCGGGAUGAGGACGACCAGGAUGAUCGCAAUUUGGCAAUGGAAUGGGGACAUGGUUGGUGGUUCGACUCUACUUGAAGAAUGGAUGAAUCUAUUCCGAAAAUAGAGUUACAUGUACAGAUCCGAAGAUCCAACGGAACAUAAAUACGCAUGAGGAUUUAAUUAUUUUAGAAUAAGGAUUUAAGGAUCCAUAAGGAUCGAAUCGGACCGGAUAUCCUGUCAUAUACACCACCAUAUCAUAUAUAUCUGUAUCUAGAUACAGAAUGUAUACAUGCCUGAGGGAAGGAGCCUCGACCCACUAAUUAGACGAUGACAUGCGGCAACGCCGACCACUUAAAACACGCAGCAGCAAAAAGGCAAAAGAGCAA